GACGAACGCUGGCGGCGUGCCUAAUACAUGCAAGUAGGACGCAGUUGCGAACGGGUGAGUAACGCGUAGGUAACUACCUAUUAGAGGGGGAUAACUAUUGGAAACGAUAGCUAAUACCGCAUACUAGUAGAUGGACCUGCGUUGUAUUAGCCAGUAGGUAGGGUAAUGGCCUACCUAGGCAACGAUACAUAGCCGACCCUAGAGGGUGAUCGGCCACACCGGGACGUGGACACGGCCCAGAUGCCUACGGGAGGCAGCAGUAGGGAAUCUUCGGAAAUGGGGGGAACCCUGACCGAGCAACGCCGGGGGAGUGAAGAAGGUUUUCGGAUCGUAAAGCUCUGUUGUUAAGGAAGCGGUACUUAAAGAGAAAGGGACGGCUAACUACGUGCCAGCAGCCGCGGUAAUAC
rnacentral:rRNA from 1 species